rnacentral:RNase_P_RNA from 2 species
GCAGACGGCUGGAUGGCCGCGUGGGGGCCUGCCCCCCGCGAGGAAAGUCCGGACUCCAUGAAGCAACGGUGCCGGGUAACGCCCGGCGGGGGCGACCCCAGGGAAAGCGCCACAGAAAACAGACCGCCCUGCAUGCAGGGUAAGGGUGAAACGGUGGGGUAAGAGCCCACCGCGGGCCUGGCAACAGGACCGGCACGGCAAGCCCCACCGGGAGCAAUGCCGAAUAGGGACCUCGCGCGGGGCAGGUCGGGCAACCGGGACCGCCGCAGGGAUGCUUCGACCCGAGAGGUCCGGGUUGGCAGCUUGAUCCCGCAGGUAACUGCGGGGCCAGAGGAAUGGUCAUCCAGGGGGGCCUCGGUCCCCCGGACAGAAUCCGGCUUACAGGCCGUCUGCGCAG